rnacentral:lncRNA from 1 species
GAAGGAAGAAGCACAGUACAAGCAGGGGAGCACCUGGUAUAAAGAAGGAGUGAAGGGAAGAGAAGAGACAAAGAUUUUCUAGGAAAAGAAAGAACAGAGCUAAUGGAAGGAAGAGAGAGCAGAGAGAGAAGGAUGCAUCUUCUUCCUUUCGGGACUAAGACAGGUAUGGAACUGCAGGAUGCGUUAGUUAGCAAUCAGUCUGAAUGGGCUGGCAUGGCUUCCAGCGACUCAGAGCAACUCCACGGAGCUGAACGAUGAGCCUACGCAUUUUAUGAGUUUAAACAGUAAGCAGAGACUGAGCCCUAAUUCUCUAGACUUGUGGUGUGACCAGAAACCACCUCCUUUUCUGCUUCUGAUUUCCCUCAGCAGUAAGGAAAACCGAGCUACAAGAACAAUAUUUCACCAACCAUUUCUUCUAAAAGUAUUCUAAUAAAAACAUCCUGAAACUAGCAUUCAACUACUUCCUUUUUUUAAGUUUUUCUUUCUUUCUGAUUUUAAGAUGGUGGUUUUAAAGCAGUAGUUUUAAUCUAAAUUACAGAGCAACAAGAAGAAUGAAUGUUACUAUUCAAAAUAAAAAAAAGUAUACUUAAAUUGGCAUCUAACUUAUGAUUAAAUUACCAGCCCAAUUAGUUACUGAAUUUAUAGUAGUUCUUCCCUUAAUUUAUCAUUAAAUGACAGGUAAAAUGUCCAUAAAGCAAAUUCUGGGCUUUUAAAAUUCUAAAUAUAAACAACAAAAAACCAAAAAAGUACCUGGACAGCUUUUCAGUGCCUCUGAGAUACUGGGGAAUAGAGCAGAUAGCAGUUUAGGUUUAAUUUAUUUUGUCUGCCUCCAUCUGUGCACACUGUGCUGCUGGCUUGUUGCAAUGCUUGAUUUGUUAUUUUAUACCUCUAUGUAUGAAGGUCACUUACUCUACUUAUGUUUUCACUUACGGGACUUCAUUCGUUUCGCAAACCACUACUGCAAGGAUGAUAGAAAAGUCUGUUGAAAGAUAUAAAAUCC